AGUCCCGUGGUGUAGUGGCCAAUCAUGACGGCCUUUGGAGCCGUCGACGGCGGUUCGAAUCCGCCCGGGACUA
rnacentral:tRNA from 3 species